CAGGGAAUGGCGAUAUUCAUAUUUCACUGUGCACUUAACACACAGAUAAGGAAUGCAUUCAAUAGAAAACAGAAGUAUUCUCAGUCAGCUUCUACCACAAGAUCGACAUCAAACCCACUUCUCAUUCCCAGGGCAAAACCUAACUUAUCUUCAACUGAUUUGUAUCUCAGCACUAGCU